UGAAUGAAAUUUUUUUUAUGUAUUCUUAAAAUCUUUUUAAAGAAUAUUAUAUGUAUGUAAAUCAAAAUGGUUAAAUACUUUUGAUUUGGUCAUAAUCGAUCGAUACAGCCAACAUUUUUAUUUAAUUAUCAUUAUUUUUGUUGAAAUGAAAAUAUUUAUGAAUUUCGUCUAAAUUCUGAUAGGCUUGUCUCGAUGAUUAUAAUUGGAAUGGCUAAAUUUACCGCGACCAAUUGAAUAACAAGCAAACGGACGGAAGUGUACGCUUGAAUAAGUGGUAUAUCGUCAAAAUUGAAAAUACAGGUUAAAACACGCGUGACCAAAAUUGAAUAAUCAUUACAAGUGUGGCCAAUGGCUAUUUCUCUACAGGCGGCCGCUUCGACAACAAGAAAAUUGUUCCAUCAUCAUUCUAAAUCUA
rnacentral:lncRNA from 1 species